UACGGAGGGAGCUAGCGUUGUUCGGAAUUACUGGGCGUAAAGCGCGCGUAGGCGGCUUUGUAAGUUAGAGGUGAAAGCCCGGGGCUCAACCCCGGAACUGCCUUUAAGACUGCCUCGCUUGAAUCCGGGAGAGGUGAGUGGAAUUCCGAGUGUAGAGGUGAAAUUCGUAGAUAUUCGGAAGAACACCAGUGGCGAAGGCGGGUCUCUGGGCCGAUACUGACGCUGAGGAGCGAAAGCGUGGGGAGCGAACAGG
rnacentral:rRNA from 1 species